ACUUCCUUCGGGAAGUGAUAAAGUGGCGCACGGGUGAGUAACACGUAGGUAAUGUGCCUUUGGGUGGGGAAUAACUUAGGGAAACUUAAGCUAAUACCGCAUAAUGCAGCGGCUCCUGAUGGAGACAGUUGUUAAAGAUUUAUCGCCUAAAGAGCAGCCUGCGGCAGAUUAGCUAGUUGGUAAGGUAAUGGCUUACCAAGGCUACGAUCUGUAACCGACCUGAGAGGGUGGUCGGUCACACUGACACUGAAUAACGGGUCAGACUCCUACGGGAGGCAGCAGUCGGGAAUUUUGGGCAAUGGGCGGAAGCCUGACCCAGCAACGCCGCGUGAAGGAUGAAGUAUUUCGGUAUGUAAACUUCGUAAGAAUAGGAAGAAUAAAUGACGGUACUAUUUGUAAGGUCCGGCUAACUACGUGCCAGCAGCCGCGGUAAUACGUAGGGACCAAGCGUUG
rnacentral:rRNA from 1 species